UAUAUCCCAUGUGAUACAGUGCUGCCCCCAGAAUUAAACAAAACACCUCUAAUAAUAUACACUAUGAAAUAUGACAACUCAUUUUCCUUUGCAGAUGGAAAAUAUUGGGAACUUUUUGAGCGGAUGCAAAAGCAUAGGAAUACCUAACGACUAUCUAUUUCAAAUUGUGGACUUAUUCGAGGCAGUCAACAUCCCACAGAUCCAAUGGGAUCCAGUUCUUAGCAGUCCCAGCCUAUUCAGAAGUACAAAGUCAAAUACCAUUUGUACAUCACCAAGAGGUUCAAUCUGAUGUGUAACAGGAUAUCUGAUCUAAAAGCUUGCCAGGUUUCACAGGCUGUUUGAGUAUCACCAGGGCAGAUCAAGAAGAAAAUUGAAGGCCAGAUUCAUAACAAGCAGUUGCUUCAUUGCAAUUACAGAUUUAAACAUUGAAUGAAUUUAAAUAAAUGUGUCGAUACAUAUUGAAUGUUGCUUAAACUACACAUCUGUUGAAAAAAAAGAUUAA